rnacentral:rRNA from 1 species
UGGGGAAUAUUGGGCAAUGGGGGAAACCCUGACCCAGCAACGCCGCGUGAAGGACGAAGGCCUUCGGGUUGUAAACUUCUUUGAUCAGGGACGAAUAAAUGACGGUACCUGAAGAACAAGCCACGGCUAACUACGUGCCAGCAGCCGCGGUAAUACGUAGGUGGCAAGCGUUAUCCGGAUUUACUGGGUGUAAAGGGCGUGUAGGCGGGUCUGCAAGUCGGAGGUGAAAUUCCCGGGCUUAACGCGGGCAGGUCAUCCGAAACUGCGGAUCGUGAGUACUGGAGAGGAUAGUGGAAUUCCUAGUGUAGCGGUAAAAUGCGUAGAUAUUAGGAGGAACACCAGUGGCGAAGGCGGCUAUCUGGACAGUAACUGACGCUGAGGCGCGAAAGCGUGGGGAGCAAACA